rnacentral:rRNA from 1 species
UACGUAGGGGGCAAGCGUUGUCCGGAAUUAUUGGGCGUAAAGAGCGUGUAGGCGGUCCGGUAAGUCAGCUGUGAAAGUCAAGGGCUCAACCCUUGAAAGCCGGUUGAUACUGUCGGGCUAGAGUCCGGAAGAGGCGAGUGGAAUUCCCGGUGUAGCGGUGAAAUACGCAGAUAUCGGGAGGAACACCAAUGGCGAAGGCAGCUCGCUGGGACGGUACUGACGCUGAGACGCGAAAGCGUGGGGAGCAAACAGG